rnacentral:rRNA from 1 species
AGCUCGUAGUUGGAGUUCAGAUUGAGCUCGGCCGGUCGGCCUAAUUGGUCAGAACUGGUUGACUCUGUCUUGUUUGUGGAUCCCUCCGGAGUUAACUCUUCGGAUGUGGAGUCCACAUCGUUUACCUUGAAAAAAUUAGAGUGUUCAAAGCAGGCGUUUGCUUGAAUAUAUUAGCAUGGAAUAAUGGAAUAGGACGCUGGUUCUAUUUUGUUGGUUUUGAGAACCAGAGUAAUGAUUAAUAGGGACAGUUGGGGGCAUUCAUAUUUCAUUGUCAGAGGUGAAAUUCUUGGAUUUAUGAAAGAUGAACUUCUGCGAAAGCAUUUGCCAAGGAUGUUUUCAUUAAUCAAGAACGAAAGUUAGGGGAUCAAAGACGAUCAGAUACCGUCGUAGUCUUAGCCAUAAACUAUGCCGACUAGGGAUUGGACGUGGUUUGUUCAUUGACCCGUUCAGCACCUUACGAGAAAUCAAAGUCUUUGGGUUCCGGGGGGAGUAUGGUCGCAAGGCUGAAACUUAAAGGAAUUGACGGAGGGGCACCACCAGGAGUGGAGCCUGCGGCUUAAUUUGACUCAACACGGGAAAACUUACCAGGUCCAGACAUAGUAAGGAUUGACAGAUUGAGAGCUCUUUCUUGAUUCUAUGGGUGGUGGUGCAU